CAGAGGGUGCGAGCGUUAAUCGGAAUUACUGGGCGUAAAGCGUGCGUAGACGGCUAUCUAAGUCGGGUGUGAAAGCCCCGGGCUCAACCUGGGAAUUGCAUUUGAGACUGAAUAGCUAGGGUACGGUAGAGGGAAGUGGAAUUUCCGGUGUAGCGGUGAAAUGCGUAGAUAUCGGAAGGAACAUCAGUGGCGAAAGCGACUUCCUGGACCAGUACCGACGUUCAGGCACGAAAGCGUGGGGAGCAAACAGGAUUAGAUACCCUGGUAGUCCACGCCAUAAACGAUGAGGACUAGACGUUGGAGGGGUAAGCCUUUCAGUGUCGUAGCUAACGCGCUAAGUCCUCCGCCUGGGGAGUACGGCCGCAAGGUUG
rnacentral:rRNA from 1 species